rnacentral:rRNA from 1 species
CAUGGCCUACGGGACGCAGCAGUGGGGGAUAUUGCACAAUGGGGGAAACCCUGAUGCAGCGACGCCGCGUGGGUGAAGAAGCGCCUCGGCGCGUAAAGCCCUGUCAGCAGGGAAGAAAAUGACGGUACCUGAAGAAGAAGCCCCGGCUAACUACGUGCCAGCAGCCGCGGUAAUACGUAGGGGGCAAGCGUUAUCCGGAUUUACUGGGUGUAAAGGGAGCGUAGACGGCUUGGCAAGCCAGAUGUGAAAGGCUGGGGCUCAACCCCAGGACUGCAUUUGGAACUGUCAUGCUAGAGUGUCGGAGG